UGCCAGUGGAUUUCCCUCUACUCCCAC
rnacentral:piRNA from 1 species